GCGGCUAUGGUCUAGUGGUAGGACUCCAGCUUCCCGAGCUGGCUGCCCGGGUUCGAAUCCCGGUAGCCGCACCA
rnacentral:tRNA from 1 species